GUACAUUUAGUCAAAGAGAACAAUGUUGAAGUUGUACCAGAGCAGUGGGUGGAGAAGAGAGAUGGGGUCCUGUGUUGCUACUGGCCAAGAAAUGCCAUUAAGAGAGGAGACCGGCCUGACAAAAUAUUAUGGGAGUAGUACAGAAUUUCCAUCUUUUCAUCAACUGACAAUUACUCUGUGGCAGAGCAACGAGCCAAACGGGGGUUGACACCUCCAAUGUUGAAUCUGACGAGGAACCAGCGAAGAGGGCGGUGACUAAACCAAUCAGAUUCCGUGUAGAGCCACCUGAUGAUGAUGGAAGUGAAGCACUCCAGAAAAAGACAAAUGAACCCAGACAAGCCCAGCGUACAGUGCCACAGCUUCCACCAGCCCCUAGUGUAACUUCAAGAGCCAGUGUCUUUGAAAAGACCCUACAACAAGGUACAUAAUGUUUCAAGUCUGAUAAACAAGCCUACUUUCUCAAAGUUCUGUUCCUACCAACUGUAUGGGAUGAACAGGAAAAUCUGAUAAGUGUGUACUAUAAAUGUGGUAACGGUUUGAC